rnacentral:rRNA from 1 species
AUUGAACGCUGGCGGCAGGCCUAACACAUGCAAGUCGAACGAGUGGCGGACGGGUGAGUAAUGUCUGGGAAACUGCCCGAUGGAGGGGGAUAACUACUGGAAACGGUAGCUAAUACCGCAUACCAUCGGAUGUGCCCAGAUGGGAUUAGCUAGUAGGUGGGGUAACGGCUCACCUAGGCGACGAUCCCUAGCUGGUCUGAGAGGAUGACCAGCAACACGGGAACUGAGACACGGUCCAGACUCCUACGGGAGGCAGAAGGGGGGAAUAUUGCACAAUGGGCGCAAGCCUGAGACAGCCAGGCCGCGUGUAGGAAGAAGGCCUUGGGUUUGUAAAGUACUUUCAGCGGGGAGGCGUUACCCGCAGAAGAAGCACCGGCUAACUCCGUGCCAGCAGCCGCGGUAAUAC